UACGUAGGGGGCAAGCGUUGUCCGGAUUUAUUGGGCGUAAAGAGCGUGUAGGCGGCCAGGUAGGUCAGCUGUGAAAACUCGAGGCUCAACCUCGAGCUGUCGGCUGAAACCAUCUGGCUAGAGUCCGGAAGAGGAGAAUGGAGUUCCCGGUGUAGCGGUGAAAUGCGCAGAUAUCGGGAAGAACACCCGUGGCGAAGGCGGUUCUCUGGGACGGUACUGACGCUGAGACGCGAAAGCGUGGGGAGCGAACAGG
rnacentral:rRNA from 1 species